UCCGCCGACCACGGUGGAUGCUCUUAUUCCCUCCAACAAAAAGCGUUUGAAGAGGGCGCUUUCACCACAUUCUCUGAGGCAGAACAGAGCAGUGGCGCCAUGAAGAAAGCUCGAUGCCUAUGCCUGCGAUCUCGAGUGAUCAAGUUCCCCAUUCGAUCUGCUUAGAUCUGCUAGCUUUCCUGUGCAUUUUGAUUUUUUUUCCCUUAAAAAAUGGAGCAUUCAGCAUGGAUUUUAGGCUUCCGUUUGAUUUUCUCCAGUUAUUCACUGUUGUGUUUGGAAUAAUUUGCUGGACGUUUUCCAAUAGCCAAGUAAUCGGCGAUGUCGCUCUUCGCCGAUCGCUUUUAUCAUACUCUCUCCGAGUAACUCAUUUGCAUCUAUCCGAAUUUUUAUUAGUAUUUCAUUGCGAAAUCUGUAGCUAAAUGCUUCGGGGAUUACUGAUGAGUAUGCUUAUGCAGGAAAUUCUAAUUUUCUUUUAAUUACUAGUAGUACUUUUUUCCCGAUUGAGUAUGUUAUGUGAUUAAAUAGCAUUUCUGGUGUUUGUGUUAAGGUUUUCUGCUUGUAAUAUGACGGAACGCGGAGCAUCAACGAUCUAUUGUUGUGUAUGAUUCUGUUCAUUUACUGUUAAAAUCUUGUUUAACGAACAGAUUAAACACACUACUUACCCUGUGGCUGUGAAUGAUUAGCAUUUGUCGAUAUAUCAACAGUGUUUCUCAUACACCAGAAGAACCUCAAAGUUGAAUCACUGCAAUGUUGAUCUUGAGGAUUCUUAGUUCUUGCUACUAUUUUUGUUAUCCAUGUAUGCCUCACACAAAUUGCUUUUAUCUUAGAUUUUACAAGAAAGUAUGUUUGUUUUCCAUAAUUUUUGUUUGAACUUUGACGAGAAAUGUGAAGGCAUCUCUUGGAAGUUGUCCUUUCAUCUAGUAGUUAUGCAGAUUGUUCAUUCUGUUAAAAUAUUUUUGUGCAGUGGUGCAUGGCUGAGAUCUUGAGAUAUAGUUUUAUGUUCCACAGUGCUAACGACACUAAAAGCAUUCAUUUAGACUCUGACUAGUUUAUUCACUUGCAGCCUUCAUGCUUUAAUAGAGCCUUGUUGUUCAUUCAGUUACUCGUGACAAAUCUUCACAAAUCUUCAGUUACUCUUGACAAAUCAUCAAUUUUCUUCUCCUUUUGUUUCAUCUAACCUGCUUAAUAUUUGUUCAUUGGCUAUUCCAGUAGGUAAUUAGGAGAAGGAGAUUCAAUCCUGUAUAAUUUUUUUGGGCUAGUCAGGUUUUGCUGUUUUAGAAGUUUUCAUUAUGCCUUGUACUGAUCACUCACCAAUUAAUUUUAAAGAGAGCAUAUGCUAAAGUGAACAGUAAGCUUAAUCACAAUCAAAAUGCAAAUCUAGAGUCUAUUUAAAGACUUAAUGAUAGCAAGGUCACAAAAAACUGGCUUCUACAUCCGAUUGGAGAAUGUAGCUAGCAGUUAUUUGCUCUUGUUUCAUUAUGGAUAUCAAACCAAGUUGGUAAAUUGAUCUACAUCCAUCUUUUUUUCUUUUUUAACCUGAUUAUUAUUGUCAGAUACAUGAUUCUCCUUCCCUAUCUGUUAUAAAUUUCAAAUCCUUGGGAGACAAGUUUAUCAAGGACCCAACCUUACACGACCAUUGAUGUGUUGAAAUCCGUUGGAUCGUUGUUUCAUUAAUGUAUGUGAUAUCCUGCUCCAUUUUCUAUUAAGCAUGAUAGUUGCCAAGAAAUCUACAAGGAGAUGGUUUUGAUGCAGGUAAUUGUAUGAUGUGCUAGUCCUUACUGACUCUAUUUGUGCUCCACAGUAAUAAAAUUUCUUUAAGGUUCUGCAAUUUGGGAUUGGCAUGUCAAACAUUUCUUUUACUUCAGUUUAAGAGCUUCUUGUUCAAUUCAAUUACUCAGGGCAGUUUUGAAGCUUGAAUGGAUGUUAUAGAUCUGCUUUAUGAUAAUGGAGACAUCAGUCUUUUACAGCAAUCCUGAGGCUCUGGCUGCACCAGUAGUGGCUAGCCACAAUUUGUUCAACUCUUGAAUCAUCUAAGUCUAAGGCAAACAAAAUCUUAUGGAAUUUCUUCGAAGCCUCUAUUUUUAUUUCAUUUAAAGUGAGACAUAAAUUUUAGUUAGUUUAAGUACAGUCUGACAUUUGUUGAGACGACCAAAUUAAUUGAAUGAGAUCAUAUUUCCAUACUUGUGGAGAAAAUAAGGCCGUUUCACAUUGCUUGAGAAGGAUUAUCAUCUGAAAAUCUUAGUCUUAAAUGUACAUACAAAUUAUCUCAAAUUUGACUAGUCACCGAUUGAAUGAAUUGGUUAUUCAUUGACGUCUAUAUGGUUGGUAGAGUGCCCCCUUCUACCAACCAUCCAUCACCAUUAUUUGAUUCUUCCUUUCCUCACAUUAAUCAUACAGUCAUUUAUAUAUGCCUAUCCUUUCUCAAAGUCUGCUAAAACUUCUAACCACUUUCUUGGACCAUUGGACAAAGUUUAACACAAGAAUCUAACUUUGAGAGAGCCUGUCUUAUAAUAUCAUUCGAUUCAACCAAUUCUCUAGCCACUGUCUUUUAGAGUUAAAUGGCCAAGACAAAUAGUAUUGUGUUCCCUUGAUCCCUUCACUCUUAACUAAAACUUUGUUUCAUCGGAUUUAAUAAUUUAUAAUAACGUUUACUGGAAAGGUUUCAUUCUAGCUAGCAAGUAUAUGAAUAAUCAGAAAGUAAAUCAUACACUGAUUCUUAUGAAUUCGUGUAUUUGUAUGCUCAUUAACACUAACCACAGCAAAAAUUAUAAGCUAUUGCUUAUUUGAUCAGUAGUUGGGUCAAUUCUCUAUAUAUUACAAAUUUUGGCCAAAUUUUUGGCUUGUAAUGCACCUUUCAAAAUUUGAAUGAUAUAUCAUAAAGUUUCAAAAUUUCUCAAUUGUCUCAUUUGACCAAAUUUGUUUUAUUUUAUUCUUUACACUUUUAGUUUCUUAGGCUCAAAAUGACGUCGUUUAGUCGCAUGCAUUGUCGCUAUUUAUCGACAUCAUCAAAUUUAACACGUGUGCACCAACUUAACAUUGAAUUUGCCAUUCAAAUUUUGAAAGGUGCAGAACAAAUCAGAAUUUGGUCAAAUUUUAUGAUUUUACAUGCAAAUUAACCCUUUUGAGUUUUGAUUUCCAUGUUGCAUUUAAGAAAGAGAAGCUAGGUUGUGUCUGUCCAGAUAUAUUCGAGCUUGAGCUUGAGCUAUCAUUAUUAAUUUAGCAUUACCUAGGCGUAGGGAGAUCUCCGCCUAACUCUCGUUAUAUGUACUCCUCUCAUAACGUAGCUAUAUACCCCACCCUUUGAAGGGUUGCUGUUCAUCACAUAGUUUAAUGAUUAGUUGUUAAUCCAGAUAUGUUGAUUUGAAAUCCUAAUUUUAUCCUACUCCAUAUCAUUUAACACCGUCUUAUACUUUAUAAUCUAUACAUAAUUCACUACACGCUCUUUCUUGAUUUAAUCUAUGUGCCAAAACACCUCAAUUAAGGCGGUAGGGAUGAGUACUAAACAAUUGCCAAAAAUUUGAUGAUCCUAGGGCAUAUAUUCGAAACCCAAGCGGAAUAUUAUAUAGCAAAUAGAUAAAAUGUACAUAUGAUUGUAAAGGUUUGAUAAAAAUAAAAUAUGUUUAUGGAUUUUGUCUGGUGUAUGAAAGAUAAUAUUUUGACAUUUAGGGCAUAGGACCACAAAGGGCCAUCCAUGAUUCCUUCCUAUCAAGACAUGAAUUUAAUUUUAGCUUUUCUACUUGCUUGUCCUUCUUCCUACCUGCAUUCCCCACUUCGUUGAUGUUUUUCUGUUUACCUCAUGUAGUAAUUCACUUAAAUCAAUUCGCGUCACAUUCUGUUUUUCAUGGUUUUUAUUCCGAAAAUUAUUCUCUUUUUGUGAUCUUGAUUCGUCCACCAAAAUUAGUGCCAUUUCUAUUUAUGAAAAACAUUCUCACCAUUUUUUCUCUCCUCAUUCUCUACAUACUUUUUUUUCUCUCAUAUUUUAUCAACUGUGAUUUAAAAUUUUAUCGUCCACAAAUAGGAUUAUUUUUCGCGAACGAAGCUAGGGAGUUUUACAUAAUAAAAUGGAUGGGUUAGUUGUAUGACAUUUAAUUCACUGCAAAAUCAUCAUCCUCUAUCUUUGCUUCUGUUUUACUAGAAUUCUGUGACGGCAUAUUUUUACUAUAGAAUUUUGGACUAGGCCUAAUGGUUAAAUUUAUUAACCCCUAGUUAUACUGAUCCCUAUUUUUACGUUUUGAUAUAUCGGACCACUAUUAAUUUUAGUUUCUAUAGUUUUAUUCAAUAAUUUUUUUUGGGUCUUUGUGGGUUGGCAUGUUGGGACUUGGGACCGA